AUUUGGGAUUGGGGAAUUUGGGAUUGGGGAAUUUGGAUUGGGGAAUUUGGGAUCCCAGGAGUUUUGGGGUCCAGGAAUUUUGGGAUUGGGGAAUUUGGGAUUGGGAAUUUGGGAUUGGGGAUUUGAGAUUGGGGAAUUUGGGAUCCCAGGAGUUUGGGAUUGGGAAUUUGGGAUCCCAGGAGUUUGGGAUUGGGAAUUUGGGAUUGGGGAAUUUUGGGUUUCAGGAUUUUAGGAUCAAAGAGUUUGGGAAUUGGGGAAUUUGGGGUCUGGGAAUUUUGGGAUUGGGGAAUUUGGAUUGGGGAAUUUGGGAUCAGGAAUUUGGAUCGGGGAAUUUGGGAUUGGGGAGUUUGGGAUCGGGGGAUUUGGGAUUGGGGGAUUUGGGAUUCAGGAAUUUGGGAUUGGGGAUUUGGGAUUGGGGAAUUUGGGGUCCAGGAGUUCGUUUGGGAUUUUGCAGCAUUUUUUUGGGGGGGAUUUUGGGGGAAGCCAGAAUUCCCAGGGGUCAGAAAUCCCAUCCCCAUUUUCCCCUCUCCCCAAAAUUCUCCAAAAUUUCCGGAAUUAAUUCUGAACCUUUAUUGCACAACCACAGCGAGGGGAUCCCAAAUUUCCCCCCCAAAAGUCCCAAAUUUCCCUCCAGAAAUCCCAAAUUCUGCCCAAAUUCCUUCGGGAAUGGGAUUUUUGGGGAUUGGGAUUUUUGGGGAUUGGGAUUUUUGGGGAUUGGGAUUUUUUGGGGGAACGGGGAAUUUUUGGGGGAUUUUUGGGAAAUGGGAAUUUUUGGGAAUUUGGGAUUUUUGGGAUUUCCCUGAGUUGUUCCCAAUCCUGGGGGGGGAUCCUCGUACCGGGAGGGGGACGGGGACAUUGGGGACAGCAUUGGGGACAUUGGGAGUGGCCCUGUCACAGGGGUGGCACUUUGGGGUGUCCCUGUCACAGGGGUGGCACCUAAAGUGUCCCUUGUCCCACAGAGGGGACAUUGGGGACUGUCCCUUCACAGGGGUGGCACUUGGGGAUGUCCCUGUCACAGCACAGGGGUGGCACUUUGGGGUGUCCUUGUCACAGAGGUGGCACUUGGGACUGUCCCUUUGUCCCAGGGGGUGGCACUUUGUGGCAGGGUCCCCAUCACAGCCGGUCCUGGUGGCACUUGGUGACAAUGACAUGGGUGGCCCUGCACUCCGAGAUGUGGCAGUGACACUGGGGACAAUCCCAGUGACAUGUGGGGACAUUGGUGGCAGUCACAGUGACGUUGGUGGCAUUGGUGACAGUCACAGGCGGUCCCGGUGGCGCUUGGGGACAGUGACAGUGACACUCACGGUGUCACAGUUGGUCCUGGUGGCACUUGGGGACAAUGACAUGGGUGGCCCUGCACUCCGAGAUGUGGCAGUGACACUGGGGACAGUCACAGUGACACAUGGGGACAUUGGUGGCAGUCACAGUGACAUUGGUGACACUCCCACGGUGUCACAGUUGGUCCCGGUGGCACUUGGGGACAGUGACAGUGACACUCACGAUGUCACACACGGUCCUGGUGGCACUUGGGGACAAUGACACGGGUGGCCCUGUGCUCCGAGAUGUGGCAGUGACACUGGGGACAAUCCCAGUGACAUGUGGGGACAUUGGUGGCAGUCACAGUGACAUUGGUGACAUUGGUGGCAGUCAGAGCUGGUCCCGGUGGCACUUGGGGACAGUGACACUC
ensembl:lncRNA